rnacentral:rRNA from 1 species
UACGUAGGGGGCAAGCGUUGUCCGGAUUUAUUGGGCGUAAAGAGCGUGUAGGCGGCCAGGUAGGUCUGCUGUGAAAACCCGGAGCUCAACUCCGGGCCUGCAGUCGAUACGGGCGGACUUGAGUGUUGCAGGGGAGACUGGAAUUCCUGGUGUAGCGGUGAAAUGCGCAGAUAUCAGGAGGAACACCGGUGGCGAAGGCGGGUCUCUGGGCAGUAACUGACGCUGAGGAGCGAAAGCGUGGGGAGCAAACAGG